GGCAGCCGCGGUAAUUCCAGCUCCAAUAUCGUAUAUUAAAGUUGUUGCAGUUAAAAAGCUCGUAGUUGGAUUUCAAGGGUCGCAGCGUGGAAUACACGCCUGCACCCUACCAGUCUUUGACUGUUACUGUGAGAAAAUUAGAGUGUUUCAAGCAGGCUGUUGCCCGAAUACAUUAGCAUGGAAUAACGAAUGUGUCUAGAAUCUUGGUUAAUUCUAGAAUACGAUUAAUAGGGACAGUUGGGGGCAUUAGUAUUUAAUUGUCAGAGGUGAAAUUCUUGGAUUUGUUAAAGACUAACGUAUGCGAAAGCAUUUGCCAAGGAUGUUUUCAUUAAUCAAGAACGAAAGUUAGGGGAUCGAAGACGAUCAGAUACCGUCGUAGUCUUAACCAUAAACUAUGCCGACUAGGGAUCGGAUGAUGUUAAUUUUUUAAUGACUCA
rnacentral:rRNA from 1 species